rnacentral:rRNA from 1 species
UACGUAGGGUGCAAGCGUUUAAUCGGAAUUACUGGGCGUAAAGCGUGCGCAGGCGGUUUUGUAAGUUUGUCGUGAAAUCCCCCGGGCUCAACCUGGGAAUGGCGAUGAAGACUGCAAGGCUAGAAUCUGGCAGAGGGGGGUAGAAUUCCACGUGUAGCAGUGAAAUGCGUAGAGAUGUGGAGGAACACCGAUGGCGAAGGCAGCCCCCUGGGUCAAGAUUGACGCUCAUGCACGAAAGCGUGGGGAGCAAACAGG